GACGAACGCUGGCGGCGUGCCUAAUACAUGCAAGUCGAACGAAGCUGUUUUAACUGGUGCUUGCACCGACUUAAACAACUGAGUGGCGAACGGGUGAGUAACACGUGGGUAACCUGCCCCAAAGCGGGGGAUAACAUUUGGAAACAGAUGCUAAUACCGCAUAACCACAGAAACCACAUGGUUUCUGUGUCAAAGAUGGUUUCGGCUAUCACUUUGGGAUGGACCCGCGGCGUAUUAGCUAGUUGGUAAGGUAAUGGCUUACCAAGGCAAUGAUACGUAGCCGAACUGAGAGGUUGGUCGGCCAGAUUGGGACUUAGACACGGCCCAAACUCCUACGGGAGGCAGCAGUAGGGAAUCUUCCACAAUGGACGAAAGUCUGAUGGAGCAACGCCGCGCGAGUGAAGAAGGUUUUCGGAUCGUAAAACUCUGUUGUCAGAGAAGAACGUGUGCGAGAGUAACUGCUCGUGCAGUGACGGUAUCUGGCCAGAAAGCCACGGCUAACUACGUGCCAGCCGCCGCAGUAA
rnacentral:rRNA from 1 species